rnacentral:rRNA from 1 species
UACGAAGGGGGCUAGCGUUGUUCGGAUUUACUGGGCGUAAAGGGCGCGUAGGCGGUUCUACAAGUCAGAAGUGAAAGCCCUGGGCUUAACCCGGGAAUUGCUUUUGAAACUGUAAGACUAGAGUAGGGGAGAGGUGAGUGGAAUUCCCAGUGUAGAGGUGAAAUUCGUAGAUAUUGGGAAGAACACCAGUGGCGAAGGCGGCUCACUGGAUCCUAACUGACUCUGAGGCGCGAAAGCGUGGGGAGCAAACAGG